UUUCGGAAUAACAGUUAGUAGCCUUGGUUACGAAUGUUUUUCAAUUACAAAACAUCCACAUGAAAUGUAAUAAAUUAUUAUGACUAUAAAAUAUAAUGAAUAGUGAACUGAGAAGAAUCAGAGAUGACCAAAGACCACAAAACAGCCAAACACAGAACUGCAGUCUCGAAUAUCCUUGCAGAUCGACUAAUCAACGAUCAUAAAACGAGAAUUCAAGACAUGUAAUGGGAAUCCACAACAGUAAUCUGAAGGUGAUAUGUUACGAGCAUAGGUUCUACGAGUGAUCGUUCGCACGCUCAAUAACAAGAGAACCCGAAAAAUCAGGCGUGAACCUUACAAUAAAAUGGAAAGACUUACAAGUGCCAAAUUUGCAGAUGUUUCCUGCAGAAGUCCAAAUUGAACAUUCAUGAAAUGUGAUUUAGAUUCAUUUAGACGCAGACUUAUUCUAUGAGCAUGAGCCUAUGCACAUCAGUAAAAGAACUAUUUACACGAAGACGAUCAAGCAAUUGAAAAAACGAGCUACAUCAAUACAACUUGAUGUUCGCCAGGCUGUUCUGGAACUACCCACGUAGGUUUUAAUGCCGACCAAUGAGGAUAGUACCAAUCGGACAAUAAUUUCUGCUUCGUACUUUAUAUCCAUUUAGUUGUGAAAUACUUAUCUAGCAUGAAACGAUCCGUGUUAUUUUAGUAGCAAUCUGAAUGUUCUUUUUCCCCGUAAAUAGCCAUCGAAAUUAGAUGAAUAAUAAAGUAAGGAACAUUAAUGGUCAUUGGUAUUACUGAGAAAUUGAAUUUUGAAUUUAUUUUUAUUAAAAAAUUCAGAUAAUUACAAGAUCCAGCAUUCAUUCAUUUAUUAGAAACAUAAAUUUUCGAUUCUAGAAGUCUUGCGUUGCAGCCACGUUCUCGUCACCCGAGCAUAUACUAAGGUUUUCUUCAGUUCCAUAAGAGUUGGCAAUACAUGAUCGCGUCAUGAUUUUUCUAACACUUGUAAACAAGCUUUGAAACACUUUCGCAGUUCCUCUUCUGGAACCGCGAGGCUUUCCUGAGUUAGGAUAAAACAUUUCAUCACUUUGUGCGAUUCUUUAAUAUGUUUAUGUUGCUGAACCAUUUUGCGCAAGAUUCUGGUUAAGCCUUUCCAUUGUCAAUCGAAUUCUGAUCCUUUAGGUACCUUAAAAUAAAUACAUUCGGGACAAAAGCGACAGUUUUAUGUUGGUUUUUUUUCUAGGACUUUUUUAUGAACGGCUAUCGGCAAUAGAGCAAAAUACUUCGUCAAUUUGUUUGUUUAUUUAUACUUCAAGGGUCCCUAGGUAACA